GACGAACGCUGGCGGCGUGCUUAACACAUGCAAGUCGAACGAGUGGCGCACGGGUGAGUAAUACGUGGGUACCCUGCCCUCUUUUUGGGAUAAACCUUGGAAACGGGGUCUAAUACCGCAUAAGGUGGAUGGGCUCGCGGCCUAUCAGCUUGUUGGGGGGGUGAUGGUCUACCAAGGCGGGGCCGGGUAGCCGGCCUGAGAGGGUGACCGGAAAUGUGGGGAGUGAGAGACGGCCAAGACAGGUACGGGAGGCAGCAGUGGGGGAGAGGGCACAAGGGGGGAAAGCCGGAGGCAGGGAUGCGGCGAGGGGGAUGAAGGCGUUAGGGUUGUAAACCUCGGUGGCUAGCGAAAGGGUAGGUGGAGAAGAAGCGCCGGCUAACUACGUGCCAGCAGCCGCGGUAAUUC
rnacentral:rRNA from 1 species